UAGUAUCUAUCCCAAAGACCAGGGAGAAAGGAAGGAAAGAUUCUGGUUCUGUCCUCUUCCCCAAGGCAAGGCUGGCUGCCCUACCAACAGAGGCAAAGAGAAGAGUGUGCAAGGCUGGCUGCCCUCCCAACAGAGGCAAAGAGGAGUGUGUGUUGAAAUAUCCAUUGAAUCCCUGAGACAACUGGAUCCUGGCCCAUUGAAUCAUAAACUCAGCAGAAUCUCACAUCAUAACCCCAAAUGACCUGUUACUCACCAUGUGGCCCAGCUGUCUUCAAACUCACCAGCCUCCUGCCUUAGCCUUCUAAAUGCUUGGAUUACAGGCAUGACCCACCAUAACUGGCUUUGUUUUAGUUUCAGAGAAGAUGAAACUGAUGUGCGUCAAAAAGUAAACUACCCACAUUUUAACUGGGCACAUUCCUGUCAAUCUGAUGAGAAUCUAUUUCAUACCCUGCUUUAGCUGGUAGUCUGUCAAGGAAAUGAGCUGAACAUGUCUGUGUACAGCUUUUGUGCCAUCCCUGGAUGAGCGAGCUGUCUGCCUCUAUGUUCUCCACAAAAUGGAAUAUAGCUGUACACCCAAGCCAAGUUAUGGAGGCUGGGAAGACCUAGAAUGUGGCAUCACUAUUUGCUUCGACAAUUCUGUGGAGAUAAACUUUCAGUAGACGUGGAGCAGAUUAUCACAGUUGAAUUGUGCUGAGAGAAGAGCUGAAAUGACUAAGCUCACAGGAAAACUACCAAAGGGCGUUACUGAAUGUCCAGUUUACAGUCUCCAAAGGGGAGCUGCCUCUGCUGGUGGUGAUGCAUGGAACAUGGCUUUAUUGUGUGAACCUUGGAAAUGGACACCAGAGAGUCCUGGACUUGUAGUCGGUGUAGCAGAAGUUGAUCUGGGGCCGAGGUCUUAAGAUUUCUGAGGCUCAAGACAUGAGUAAUAGAUUGCUAGUCUUUCCAUGGAUGAGAACCGGCAAAAUCUCUAAGUGAGAAAUCACAUCAUCUAUAGUUCAAAGCAGAGUUCCUAUUCCAAUGAGAAAGAAUACUCAUCAGAAGGUCAAGGCAUGCAACCAACCAAUCCAUACGAUGUGUUCCAAUAUGCUCAACUCUGCUCUCAAUGUUUUGCAGCAUGUCAGAAUGUAAACUUAACAGCAACCUCUGAGGUGUUAAAUACAGACAAGUCAAAGUAGAUUAAAUCUAUUUCAACAUAAAGAUUUGAACAUGGCACUCUGCCCCGGAAAUGCAUGUGACCCCCUCAAUAUGCUGCCUUUGCUGCACAACUGUCUUUUUGUACUCUUGUAAUGUUGAUGGCUUGUGCAUCAUCAAAACCAAACAAACGUCUGUUGGACUGACAGACGAUUAAGAGUCAAUGUCUGAGUGGAGGAUAAAUGUGAGAAACUCCACUAGGAGGAGACAACCUUUCCUCCAUCAAAAAGACAGCGCUAAGAAUCCUUACCAUUGUAAUCUGGUCCAUAGAGAGAGCAGCAUCCUUUCCCUAACGAUUACCCAUUUCCUAUUAGCAAAUGACUCCUGUGAUGCUUCCCCAGCUAAAAUAGGACCCAAAUUGGCUAAGUACCAUAGACAAUAUGUGCAAUUCUGUUUUUAAAAAUCACCAGAAGUAAAAGGGUCCAUUCAAAUAAAUGGAACAAGAAUGUCCUGAGCCAAA
rnacentral:lncRNA from 1 species